GAGGAUACUUUCCGAGAUACCACUUUGAUGAGGCCAGCGGUCAGUGUAAGAAGUUCAUCUACGGUGGUUGCGGAGGAAAUGAAAAUAAUUUUAAAACUUUGAAAGAAUGCCAACAAACUUGUGGGGCGAAGUAACGAGAUAACGCCCAAAUGGAAAACGGUUUUGACAGGAAAUGCAAGUCUUCCGAUUAAUUUGCCUGCCACACUUCAGUUGCUCAGUUCCAAAAGAAGUUCUUCACAGCAUCAUAACGUUAGAAUAAAUGUUUUUUGAAGCUUUUGCUGACUCCCAUGACAGUAUGAUAUUCUUCGUACUUGAUCUUGUAUUUGGUCAGCUGAGUGCUCUAUUUUUUAGCUUUUUCUUAAUGAAUCGCUACAGCAUUGUAAUGUAGAGCAGUUACCGAUUAUUGAAAUAAA